GCUUGUAGAUUCGCCCGGACCAGGAAGCGGAUCGCGUGGACUGGAAGUCACACUGCGGCGACUCUGGGUAUGUGAAGAAGAAACUCAGAAGAGGAAGAGGAAAGCAAAGGAGUCAGGGAUGGCUCUUCCUCAGGGUCUAUUGACAUUCAGGGAUGUGGCCAUAGAAUUCUCUCAGGAGGAGUGGAAAUGCCUGGACCCUGCUCAGAGGACUCUAUACAGAGACGUGAUGCUGGAGAAUUAUAGGAACCUGGUCUCCCUGGAUAUCUCUUCCAAAUGCAUGAUGAAUACAUUGUCAUCAACAGGGCAAGGCAAUACAGAAGUGAUCCACACAGGGACAUUGCAGAGACAAGCAAGUUAUCACAUUGGAGCAUUUUGCUCCCAGGAAAUUGAGAAAGACAUUCAUGACUUUGUGUUUCAGUGGCAAGAAGAUGAAACAAAUGACCAUGAAGCACCCAUGACAGAAAUAAAAAAGUUGACUAGUAGUACAGACCGAUAUGAUCAAAGGCAUGCUGGAAACAAGCCUAUUAAAGGUCAGCUUGAAUCAAGAUUUCAUUUGCAUUUGCGAAGACAUAGGAGAAUUCAUACUGGAGAGAAACCUUACAAAUGUGAAGAAUGUGAGAAAGUUUUCAGUUGCAAAUCACAUCUUGAAAUACAUAGGAUAAUUCAUACUGGAGAGAAACCAUACAAAUGUAAGGUUUGCGACAAGGCUUUUAAGCAUGAUUCACACCUGGCAAAACAUACUAGAAUUCACAGGGGAGACAAACAUUACACAUGUAAUGAAUGUGGCAAGGUUUUUGAUCAAAAAGCAACCCUUGCAUGUCAUCAUAGAAGUCAUACUGGAGAGAAACCUUAUAAGUGUAAUGAGUGUGGCAAGACCUUUAGUCAGACAUCACACCUUGUGUACCAUCAUAGACUGCAUACUGGAGAGAAACCUUACAAAUGUAAUGAGUGUGGCAAGACCUUCGCUCGAAAUUCAGUCCUCGUAAUUCAUAAGGCAGUUCAUACUGCAGAGAAACCCUAUAAGUGUAAUGAAUGUGGCAAGGUUUUUAAGCAACGAGCAACUCUUGCAGGACAUCGUAGAGUUCACACUGGAGAGAAACCUUACAGAUGUGAAGAAUGCGACAAAGUUUUCAGUCGCAAAUCACAUCUUGAAAGACAUAGGAGGAUUCAUACUGGAGAGAAACCAUACAAAUGUAAGGUUUGUGACAAGGCUUUCCGGAGUGAUUCACGUCUUGCAGAACAUCAGAGAGUUCAUACUGGAGAGAGACCUUACACAUGUAAUGAAUGUGGCAAGGUUUUUAGUACAAAAGCGUACCUCGCAUGUCAUCAAAAACUUCAUACUGGAGAGAAACUUUACGAAUGUGAAGAAUGUGACAAAGUUUACAUUCGCAAAUCACACCUUGAAAGACAUAGGAGGAUUCAUACAGGAGAGAAACCUCACAAGUGUGGUGAUUGUGGUAAAGCCUUUAAUUCACCUUCACACCUUAUUAGGCAUCAGAGAAUCCAUACUGGACAGAAAUCUUACAAAUGUCAUCAGUGUGGCAAGGUCUUUAGUCUGAGGUCACUCCUUGCAGAACAUCAGAAAAUUCCUUUUGGAGACAAUUGUUUCAAGUGCAAUGAGUAUAGCAAACCAUCAAGCAUUAAUUGACAUCAGAGUCAAAUCAGCAUUGACCUGAGUUUGAGUUGACUUAACAUUGAUUUCAAGCAUUAAUCGACAUUAAACUGUUUAUGUUAAGAGGAUUGGGCCAGGCGUGGUGUCUCACACCUGUAAUCCCAGCACUUUGAGAGGCCAAGACAGGUAGGUCACUUGAGGUCAUGAAUUUGAGACCAGCCUGGCCAACAGACGGGAGCCACUUUUCCCAGCCUGUAUGUUCUUUUAUUUAUUUAUUUAUUUUUAAGAUGGAAUCUUGCUCUGUCGCCCACGUUGGAGUGCAGUGAUGUGAUCUCGGUUCACUGCAACAUUCACCUCCCAGGUUCAUGCAAUUCUCCUGCCUCAGUCUCCUGAGUAGCUGGGACUACAGGUGCGUGCCACCAUGCCCGGGUAAUUUUUUGUAUUUUUAGUAGAGACUGGGUUUCACCGUGUUAGCUAGGAUGGUCUCGAUCUUCUGUCCUUAAAAUCCACCUGCCUCCACCUGCCAAAGUGCUGAGAUUACAGGCGUGAGCCACCACACCUGGCCUGUUUUUUGUUUCUUUAACAAAAAGUUAUAGAAAUUUCUCUGGGUAUUGUGUUGAAUCUACAUCACAUUCAGUUAUAAUCAUUUAGCAAUAUUAUUCCAUUCAAUAUGGCUUGUAUCUCUUAUUUGCACAUGUUUUUAUCACUUUGAUCAAUGUUUGUAGAUUUGAAGGUAGAAACUUCUCAACUUUUUUCAUUUAUUCCUAAGUAUUUCUUACUUUAAGUUCUUUAGCAAAUGAAAGUGUUUUUUUAAUUUUCUUUUUAAAUUGUUUAUUGUUAAUGUAUGGAAAUUCAACUAAUUUUUGGUGCUGUUAUUCUAUUCUUCAAAUCCACUGCAUAUGUUUUUUAGUUCCAGUUGCAUUUUGGUUGACUCUUUGUGAUUUUCUACACAGAAGAUCAUGUCAUCUACAAAGAAAUAGUUUUACUUCUUUCUUUCUGAUUUGGAUGAGUUUGAUUUCUUUUGCUAUUUCAUUGCUCUAGCUAGGACAGCCAGUAUUGAUUGAAUAGAAGGGGUGAGAGCAUUCUUGCAUCAUGUGAGAUCCUACAGGAAAAGCAUUCCAUUUUCCCUGACUGGUUAUUUCUGCUGUGGUCAUUUCAUGGAUGGUCUUUGUAUUGUUGAGGUAAAUUUCCUUCUCUUUCUAUUUUGUUUAGGAUUUCCAUGAUGACUGGAUGUUGAAUUUUGUGAAAUGCUUUUUCUCCAUGUAUUGAGAUGAUGUGGUUUUCAUCUUUCAUUAUGUUCAAGUGGUAUAUCACAUUGAUUUGCUUGACUAUGUUGAACCAUUUUGCAUCCCAGAAAUAAGUGGCACUUGCAUAUCAACAAUCCUUUUUAUAACCUCUUGAAUACAGUUCGCUAGUACAAGGGGUCUUCAGGAAGUUCAUGGAAAAAUACAUAUUAUGAGAAAAUUGUGCAUGAUAUCACAUUUUUUGCACCAAGAUAAACUGAUACAAAUCCGUUAUAACAUGUCUGAACAGGGUUUGGUUUGAGGCACUCAGAUGGGUAAGACAUGAGUUUGAAAAGAGACUCAAUCAAGGCAAUGUAAAUUCUGCUAAAACUGAAACAAGAAGAAACAUCAAAUUUGCGAUGAGACCAGAUGCUGUGGCUCAGGCCUGUAAUCCCAUAAUUUUCAGAGGCUGAGACAGUUGGGUCACGUGGGCCCCGGUACUCAAGACCAGCCUGGGCAGAAUGGUGAAACCACCUUCUCUACAAAAAAUACAUAAAUUAGCUGGGCAUUGUGGCACAUGUCUGCUGGUUCAGCUUCUGUGGAGUCUGCAGUGGGAGGAUGGCUUGAGCCUAGGAGUUCGAGGCUGCAGGGAGCCAUGAUCAUGCCAUUGUACUCCAGCAUGGGUGACAGAGACAGAUAGUGUAUCGAAAAAUGAAUCUGGUAAAGUUUGGGUAGAGGGACAAUGAAAUCAUUGAUGCUUUAUGAAAAGGUUAUGGGGACGAUUCCCAAAAUAAAUCACCAGUUUGUAAAUGGAAAACUUAUUUUAAGUUGGGACAAGAUGAUGUUGAAAGUGAUGCACAGGACAGGUGUGGUGGCUCACACCUGUAAUCCCAGCACUUUGGGAGGCCGAGGCAAGAGCAUCACGAGGUCAGGAGAUCGAGAAAAUCCUGGCUAACACGGUGAAACCCCAUCUCUACUAAAAAUACAAAAAAUUAGCCAGGCGUGGUUGUGGGCGCCUGUAGUCCCAGCUACUCAGGAGGCUGAGGCAGGAGAAUGGCAUGAACCGAGGAGGUGGAGCUUGCCAUGAGCAGAGAUCAUGCUACUGCACUCCAGCCUGGGUGACAGAGCGAGACUCCAUCUCAAAAAAAAAAAAAAAAAAAAAAAAAAGAAAGUGAUGCACAGAGUGGCAGGCAGACCAUCCACAUAAGUUUUAUAGGUACAACUGUCAAAGACGACACUGGAGAAGAGCCAAGCUGGAUCUAUAAGGAAUUGCAUAUGAGAUGGCACACAUAUUCAUGCUGUCUGAAGAUUCAGUCACGUUACCAUAUCAAGCUGAAAAUGUCACCACUAUCUGGAGAGUUGGACAUGUUUUAUUGAGAAUGUAUUUUUUUUCUCUGGAUCUGUUAUGAACACCUUUGUUGGCUUGGUUCAGUAAUAAAUAUGUGAGACUUUUCAUUUAAAAAAAGUCAAAUGACUUAAUUCUGUAUUUUAAAUUCUGUUUUGUUUGUUUUGUUUUUUUGAGAUGGAGUCUUCUGAAAAUUUUCUCAUCUUCUCUAACCCGGUUCAUGACAGACCCUUGGACUUUACUGUUGUGGAAAAAUCUAUAUAAAACAGUAUCAGUGUGUCAAAGCAUUAUGGCUGUCACAAGCUUGUGAAAGGAAAAUAAAAAUUACUAAGCCAAAGAGAAAAGUCAAUCUGGGAACUGCGUCAGACAAACCUGCCUUCCAUUUUAUUCCUAAACAAGAUAGUUACAAAGAUUUUUUAAAAAGCUACAUAUGCCCCUCCCAAACCGGGAACCUCAAGAUCUCCACCCUAAAAUAGUUCUGUUGAAUUUCACCCUGGCGAUGUAAACUGAGAGCUUAUCUUCACAGAUGUGGGAAAGAGCCCAUCCCUCUGCACACCUGAGUCAAAUGUCUAUCUGAUUGCUUCCCUUGCCCUAUUUAUGUAAAAAUACAGGGUCCCUGAGCCAGCCUAAGGCAUAAGUGACUUAUCCCUCCUCCCUGCUCACAUAUAAAUUGUGUAUUUAGUGAAAGGCUGAUCAAAGAUUCAAAGAAUGUUAUUUGUUAUCUACCUGUGACCCAGAAGGUCCCCAAUUCCAGUUAUUCCACCUUUCCAGACCGGACCAAUGUAUAUAUGUACUGAUUGCUGUCUCGUGUGUCUGUAAAAUGUGUGAAACCAAACUGCAGCCUCAACACCAUGGACACACGUCAUCAGGACCUCCUGAGGUUCGUGUUAAUUGGCCUUAGACUCUCCCUGUCCCCAGACCCAGGACGCAUGUGUUUCCUUUUUCUUCAUUUCUAUUAAAGAUGGGUCUCAUUCUGUUGGCCAGGCAUGAGAGCGGUGACAGGAUCAGCCCUCACUGAAGCUUCAAUCUCCUGGGUUCAAGGGAUCCUCCCACCUCAGCCUCCAAAGUUGCUAGGACCAUAGCCAGGUGCCACCGCACCGGGCAAAUUUUUGUGUUCCUAGUAGAGAUGGGCUUUCACCAUGUUGCCCGAGCUGGUCUUGAAUUCCAGGGCUCAAGCGAUCCAGCCGUAUUGGCCUCCCAAGGUGCUGGGAUUACAGCCAUGAGCCACCAUGACCAACGUGUUUCUUAAUUUAAAAAAAAAAAAAUAGACCAGGUGCUCUGGCUCAUGCCUGUAAUCCCAGCACUUUGGGAGGCCAAGGUGGGCAGAUCACCUGAGAUCAAGUAUUUGAGAACAGCCUGGCUAACAUGGCGAAUCCUCGUUUUGACCAAAAUAUAGAAAUUAGCCUGGUGUGGUGGCGAGUGCCUGUAAUCCCAGCUAUUCAGGAGGGUGAGGCAGAAGAAUGGCUUGAAUUCGGGAGGCGGAGGUUGCAGUGAGCUGAGAUCCUGCAACUGCACUCUGGCUGGGCAAGAGCGAGACUCCAUCUCUAAAAUAAAAUUAAAGUAAUAUAAAAAACUGCUUCUCAUGAAAGCUUUGGUAUAAUCUUACGAGGUAACAUCAUUGUUUUGCAACUACGGUAUGUGUUCAAAAUGUUCUUCUUUGACCCCACAUUUCAUUAGAUAUAUUUUUAAGCCAUUUUAAAAUUGUUUUUCUCUGAAAUUUAUUGUGUUUAGUUUACAUUGAGGACUGCAUGCUUUCUAGUCUGUAUCAUACAUUGGAAACAUUUUCUAGUACCUGAUAAAUGAUUUUAGGUUGUUUCGAUGUGUACUUGAUAAAGAUAUCAAGGAACUUUUUCU
rnacentral:lncRNA from 1 species